GACGAACGCUGGCGGCGUGCCUAAUACAUGCAAGUCGAGCGAGUGAAACACCUUCGGGUGUGAAUCGAGCGGCGAACGGGUGAGUAACACGUGGGUAACCUGCCCGCAAGUUGGGGAUAGCUCCGGGAAACCGGAAUUAAUACCGAAUAGACAUCUUUUCAGCCUGGAAGAGAUGAGAAAGGCGGCUUUCGAGCUGUCGCUUGUGGAUGGGCCCGCGGCGCAUUAGCUAGUAGGUAAGGUAACGGCUUACCUAGGCAACGAUGCGUAGCCGACCUGAGAGGGUGAUCGGCCACACUGGGACUGAGACACGGCCCAGACUCCUACGGGAGGCAGCAGUAGGGAAUUUUCCGCAAUGGGCGAAAGCCUGACGGAGCAACGCCGCGUGAGUGAGGACGGUCUUCGGAUUGUAAAGCUCUGUUCUGUAGGAAGAAAGCCUCUAGGUAAAUAGCUUAGAGGAGUGACGCAACUACAGCAGAAAGCCCCGGCUAACUACGUG
rnacentral:rRNA from 1 species